GCCCUCGUGGCGGAAUGGCAGACGCGCCAGCUUUAGGAGCUGGUCCCGAAAGGGGUAGAGGUUCAAAUCCUCUCGAGGGCA
rnacentral:tRNA from 1 species